UCCGUUAUGGUGUAGUGGCUAACAUUAUCGCCUCUCAUCUCUGCCCUUGGUCGUACGCGAUAGCCCAGGGUUCGAUUCCCUGUAACGGAA